rnacentral:sRNA from 1 species
UUUUUGACCUGGCACAAAAAACCUUUUUUUCUUUGUAGGUUUAGAAAAUAUUCAUAUAUGUUAGAAUAUAUUUAUAUGCUAGACAAAAGUGUUGCUAAUGUAGACUUUAGAGUUACACAUUUAUAAUGAAAAUUAACAUGAAUGAAAGUAAAUAUUAUAUGUCUGCCUGAAUUGAUUUAAGGAUUAUUGUUUUUUUCUUGAAACUUGUUUACCUUGUAUUAGCUACAUGUUUGAAAGAAUAAUAAAGAUGUAGAAUAUCG